rnacentral:ncRNA from 1 species
AGGGGGUGUCACCCAUUUGGGAUGGCUGAGAGCAUACUCUUUGUACCUGAUGCGGAUCAUGCCGACGAAGGGAUGUGUUUGA